AUCACUUCUCGGCCUCUUGGCUAAGAUCAAAGUGUAGUAUCUGUUCUUAUCAGCUGCCACAUGCUCUAUUUAAAUAUUAUAAUAAAUCUAAAAAGCUGUAUAAACGAAAUUUAA
rnacentral:snRNA from 1 species